AAACCAAUGAAGUUUACUUCGUUGGGGUUGCGGACAUACAACAUGGAUGCAAUAUCGUAAAUGAAGAGAGUUGGAAAGCUCCGCCAUAGAAGGUAAUAGCCCUGUAGUUGAAACGAGAAAGCUACUAGUAUGAUCCAGAGUACCACGGGACACGUGAAACCCUGUGGGAAGCAGGAGGGACCAUCCUCCAAGCCUAAAUACUACCCAGUGACCGAUAGCGUAUAGUACCGUGAGGGAAAGGUGAAAAGAACCCCGGGAGGGGAGUGAAAGAGAACCUGAAACCCUACACUUACAAGCUGUGGGAGCACAUUUCUUGUGUGACCGCGUACUUUUUGUAGAACGGGCCAACGAGUUACGUUAAGUAGCAAGGUUAAGCACUUAAGGUGUGGAGCCGUAGCGAAAGCGAGUCUUAAAUGGGCGAUUAAGUUACUUGGCGUAGACCCGAAACCGGGCGACCUAUCCAUGAGCAGGUUGAAGCGAAAGUAAAAUUUCGUGGAGGACCGAACCCACGAGCGUUGAAAAGCUCGGGGAUGACUUGUGGAUAGCGGUGAAAUUCCAAUCGAACCCGGAGAUAGCUGGUUCUCCCCGAAAUAGCUUUAGGGCUAGCCUCAAGCGUAGAGAAACGGAGGUAGAGCACUGAAUGUCCUAGGGGGUAUUGCACUUACCGAAGACUAUCAAACUCCGAAUGCCGUUUUCUUUUACUUGGGAGUCAGACUGUGGGUGAUAAGAUUCAUAGUCAAAAGGGCAACAGCCCAGAUCGUCAGCUAAGGUCCCUAAAUGUACGUUAAGUGGUAAAGGAUGUGGGAUUGCACAGACAACCAGGAUGUUGGCUUAGAAGCAGCCACUCAUUUAAAGAGUGCGUAAUAGCUCACUGGUCGAGUGAUUUUGCGCCGAAAAUUUAACGGGGCUAAACUGUACACCGAAGCUUGGGAAUAUACAUUUGUAUGUUGGUAGGAGAGCGUUGUGUAAGGGGUGAAGUCGUAGCGAAAGCGGCGGUGGACUUUACACAAGUGAGAAUGCCGGAAUGAGUAGCGAGAAUUAUGUGAGAAUCAUAAUGGCCGAAAGACUAAGGUUUUAGAAGGAAGGUUCGUCCGCUUCUAGUUAGCCGGGAGCUAAGGCGAGGCCGAGAGGCGUAGUCGAUGCACAUACGGUUGAGAUUCCGUAGCUACCUUGCAUUUAAGCGAAGGGACACAUUUGAAGGGCAUGACCCGGGCGUUGGUUGACCCGGGCGUAAGGGACCGAAAAUAAGUAGGGAAGCAUGCUUGGAUGGUGGCGAGAAAAGCUUCGUGUAUAUAAGCAGGGUACCCGUACUGCAAACCGACACAGGUAGUCAGGAAGAGGAUUCUAAGGCCAUCGGGAGAAGCGUUGUUAAGGAACUCGGCAAAUUGACCCCGUAACUUCGGAAUAAGGGGUGCUCACGCGAGUGAGCCGCAGUGAAUAGGUCCAGGCAACUGUUUAUCAAAAACACAGCUCUCUGCUAAAUCGUAAGAUGACGUAUAGGGGGUGACACCUGCCCGGUGCUGGAAGGUUAAGAGGAGGGGUGCAAGCUCCGAAUUGAAGCCCCAGUAAACGGCGGCCGUAACUAUAACGGUCCUAAGGUAGCGAAAUUCCUUGUCGGGUA
rnacentral:rRNA from 1 species